AACGCACAUUGCACUCUCUGGUAUUCCGGAGAGUAUGCUUGUUUGAGUAUCUGUGAACAUCUCAAAUCUCUACUUUAUUGUAAAGAAUUGGACUUGAGCAAUCCCAACUCCUUCGUCAGAAAGAGAAGGGUUGCUUGAAAUGCAGGUGCAGCUGGACAUUCUUCUGAGCUAAAAGCAUAUUUAUUUAGUCCCGUCAAACGGAUUAUUAUUCUUGCUUCAGCUUACAUAAAGGUCGAAUGGCUACCAAGGCUGAUUGCAGGUAAACUCGUUCCGUAAAAAAGAACUUGUAAACUCGAUCUCAAAUCAAGUAAGACUACCCGCUGAACUUAA
rnacentral:misc_RNA from 1 species